rnacentral:piRNA from 1 species
UGCCAAGGAUUAGGGUUGACGACUCUGUUU